CCUACGGGAGGCAGCAGUGGGGAAUAUUGCACAAUGGGCGAAAGCCUGAUGCAGCAACGCCGCGUGAGGGACGACGGCCUUCGGGUUGUAAACCUCUUUUAGCAGGGAAGAAGCGAAAGUGACGGUACCUGCAGAAAAAGCACCGGCUAACUACGUGCCAGCAGCCGCGGUAAUACGUAGGGUGCAAGCGUUGUCCGGAAUUAUUGGGCGUAAAGAGCUCGUAGGCGGUUUGUCGCGUCUGCUGUGAAAACCCGAGGCUCAACCUCGGGCCUGCAGUGGGUACGGGCAGACUAGAGUGCGGUAGGGGAGAUUGGAAUUCCUGGUGUAGCGGUGGAAUGCGCAGAUAUCAGGAGGAACACCGAUGGCGAAGGCAGAUCUCUGGGCCGUAACUGACGCUGAGGAGCGAAAGGGUGGGGAGCAAACAGGCUUAGAUACCCUGGUAGUCCACCCCGUAAACGUUGGGAACUAGAUGUGGGGACCAUUCCACGGUCUCCGUGUCGCAGCUAACGCAUUAAGUUCCCCGCCUGGGGAGUACGGCCGCAAGGCUAAAACUCAAAGGAAUUGACGGGGGCCCGCACAAGCGGCGGAGCAUGCGGAUUAAUUCGAUGCAACGCGAAGAACCUUACCAAGGCUUGACAUAUACCGGAAACGGCGAGAGAUCGUCGCCCCGCAAGGUCGGUAUACAGGUGGUGCAUGGUUGUCGUCAGCUCGUGUCGUGAGAUGUUGGGUUAAGUCCCGCAACGAGCGCAACCCUCGUUCUAUGUUGCCAGCACGUAAUGGUGGGAACUCAUGGGAUACUGCCGGGGUCAACUCGGAGGAAGGUGGGGACGACGUCAAAUCAUCAUGCCCCUUAUGUCUUGGGCUUCACGCAUGCUACAUGGCCAGUACAAAGGGCUGCAAUACCGUAAGUGGAGCGAAUCCCAAAAAGCUGGUCCCAGUUCGGAUUGAGGUCU
rnacentral:rRNA from 1 species